rnacentral:lncRNA from 1 species
UUUUUUUUUUUGUGAUUGGAAAAUGAAUCGUGAUUUAAAAGAAAAAUGGGUCUAAAUGGGACUUUUGAAAAUGCGACGAUUUGACCCAAGAAAAUAGUCGGCACAAAGGGUUUUUUUUAUAAUGAAAAAUGGGAGUCGGCCACACUAUGGAUAUAGAAGUUAGGGUUGUACCAAAGUCAACCCAAAAAGUGAAUUUUUAAGGAAAACUAAAGAAACCUUCUGAAGCAUGGAUCCUAGUCCACGCAAUGACAAAGAAAAAAGGUUCGGUGGAUGUCACAUUUGACGGGGAAGGGGAAGGACAAGGAUAAAAAUCCAAGGCACCCUUGACAGGCUUAGCCAAGGCUGGUUGGCGUGGAUUUAAUCAAGAGAUUUUCUUGUUUUAACGCAAAGAGAUUUAUUAGCAUUUGAUGCUUACUAUCAAGAAUGCAAACCGCUAGACCUAGGGGUAUUGGGGGAAAUUUCUCUUCAAAGGUUGAGUGGUGCCACUCACAUUAAUUGUGAAGCCCAAUAACGAUCCUUUGAAGAAGUCACGAAUAAUGCGAGUGGGAUGCAAAUGAAGGGAAUGCAUGUAUGCAAUGUGAAGGCAUGAGUUUGAAAAAGUAAUAAAAAACAAAGAUGCAUAAGUGAAAAUGUGCACGUGAGUGGGCAAGGUAUGGUAUGUGCAAUGGUAAUAUGAAUUGUAUGUGUGCAAGUGAUGAUAAAAAAGUGUUAGUGUGCAAGUGAAGGGAUAAAGAGAUGCACGUGUGCAAAUGAAGAAACAUAAAGGUGUACGUGUGCAAAAUGGGAGGAAAAAUGAAAGUGUGAUGAGGGUAUAAAAUGGUGGAGUGGAUGCAUGAACCUAGGGAAUGUAUGCAUAUUGGGUACGGGGAGACCUAAAUCGUGACUCAAUUUGCCCUUUUGUAGAGGGAAUACAAGCGUGCUAAGGCUUAGAAAAAGCCACACUCGUCUAUAUUCCAUAUUUAAGGGGACUCUCAAGCAAAUGAACCCUAUAGCUAGCAUGAAAUGCAAAAGUCCUAAAAUUGAGGGAAAAGGGGUUCGAGGGGCAUGCAAAAAUGAUAAAACUAAAAAGAAUGCAUGACAUGUGAUGAACAUGCAAACAUGUACUAACGAGGGGAAAUCCCUAAGGGUCUAGCGUUGGACUAGCCCAUUCUAUGAAUUCCGACUAGCAUUGGACUAGUGGAAACGGAACAAUGAACCACAACUAGCGUUGGACUAGUGUGGUGACGGGAAAGGGGACCACAACUAGCAUUGGACUAGUGUGGUGACGUCCA